AUUGAACGCUGGCGGCAGGCCUAACACAUGCAAGUCGAGCGAGCGGCGGACGGGUGAGUAAUGUUUGGGAAACUGACUGAUGGAGGGGGGUCACUACUGGCAACGGUAGCUAAUACCGCAUACCAUCAGAUGUGCCCAGAUGGGAGUAGCUAGUAGGUGGGGGAACGGCUCACCUAGGCGACGAUCCCUAGCUGGUCUGAGAGGAUGACCAGCCACACUGGAACUGAGAAACGGUCCAGAAUCCUACGGGAGGCAGCAGUGGGGAAUAUUGCACAAUGGGCGCAAGCCUGACGCAGCCAUGCCGCGUGUGUGAAGAAGGCCUUCGGGUUGUAAAGCACUUUCAGCGGGGAGGCGUUACCCGCAGAAGAAGCACCGGCUAACUCCGUGCCAGCAGCCGCGGUAAUAC
rnacentral:rRNA from 1 species